AAAUGGAUGAUUUCGAAAAAGCUCUGAGCAGGCUGCAGGAGAGCGAGGAUGGCCAUUGCGUGAUAGAAGCUGUUUAUUCACAAGACGCCAACAGCACAGCGAACGCAACUUGGUACUACAUGGAUCAGCAUGAUCUUGUCUGGACGGAAGUAGAGGAAGAAUACGAGACAGAUAUCCACAUUGGCCACGGGCUGGUGGUGAUUCUGCCUCUGAUCUCGAACAAUGGGUCUUUGAGUUACGUCAUCCUUACGAAGACUUAUAUCGACGAACCCGCGAGCCCCAUCGUACAGGUGGG